rnacentral:rRNA from 1 species
CCAAUAGCGUAUAUUAAAGUUGUUGCAGUUAAAAAGCUCGUAGUUGAAUUUCGGGGUCUGUCCGUCGGUCGGGCUUCACAGUCCGUACUGGUGUGAUGGGUUCCUACCUUCUGAAUAACCGGCAUGCCAUUCAGUUGGUGCGCCGGGGAAGCAGAGCUAUUACCUUGAAAAAAUUAGAGUGCUUAAAGCAGGCUAGUGCUUGAAUAGAUUAGCAUGGAAUAAUAAAAUAGGACGGCAUGGUUCUAUUUGGUUGGUUUCUAGGAUCACCGUAAUGAUUAAUAGGUAUAGUUGGGGGCAUUAGGAUUCAAUUGUCAGAGGUGAAAUUCUUGGAUUUAUUGAAGACUAACUUCUGCGAAAGCAUUUGCCAAGGAUGUUUUCAUUAAUCAAGAACGAAAGUUAGGGGAUCGAAGACGAUCAGAUACCGUCGUAGUCUUAACCAUAAACUAUGCCGACUAGGGAUCGGACGAUGUUAAUUUUUUAAUGACUCGUUCGGCGCCUUACG